UCUUCGGAGUCUGGGGUGGUCGUGAAGAUCCCGGAUGAGCCCCCAAAUGAAAGAACCUGGCUCGAGUCUCAGGAUGGUGCGCCCCAGGAAACACCG
rnacentral:pre_miRNA from 14 species